UUGAACCUUUGCUUCUCUCGCUGCAGCCUCUGCUUCCCUCGCUGCCGCAUCUGCUUUAAGUUGUAGCUGGAGUUCUUCAUAUUUCCAUUGAUCCUCAGCUGUGGUCGCUUGCAUCUGAGUCAUCUGGUCUUUUAACCUCUGAACUUCAGCUUGAGCCUAACUCCCCGAAGCCAUGUAUUGUUGCGAGCUGGAUCCAAAAUAUUGGGUUGGGCUAACCAAAGAUCCUUGAAAUCGAACCCGACCAUACCUUUCAGGACCCAAAAC
rnacentral:lncRNA from 1 species